rnacentral:rRNA from 1 species
AAAGUCCCCUUCGGGGGACAAGUAGAGUGGCGCACGGGUGAGUAACACGUAGGUAAUCUACCUUCGGAUGGGGAAUAACAACCGGAAACGGUUGCUAAUACCGCAUAAUGCAGCGGCACCUAAUGGUGACAGUUGUUAAAGCGGGGGAUCGCAAGACCUCGCGUCUGAAGAGGAGCCUGCGGCGGAUUAGCUAGUUGGUAAGGUAAUGGCUUACCAAGGCGACGAUCCGUAACCGGCCUGAGAGGGCGGUCGGUCACACUGACACUGACAUACGGGUCAGACUCCUACGGGAGGCAGCAGUCGGGAAUUUUGGGCAAUGGGCGAAAGCCUGACCCAGCAACGCCGCGUGAAGGAUGAAAUCCCUCGGGAUGUAAACUUCGCAAGAACGGGAAGAAUAAGUAGGGGACAAUACCCCCUAUGAUGACGGUACCGUUUGUAAGCUCCGGCUAACUCCGUGCCAGCAGCCGCGGUAAUACGGGGGGAGCAAGCGUUGUUCGGAUUUACUGGGCGUAAAGGGCGCGUAGGCGGCCAGCGCAAGUCAGUUGUGAAAUCUCCGAGCUUAACUCGGAAAGGUCAACUGAUACUGCGCGGCUAGAGUGCAGAAGGGGCAACUGGAAUUCUUGGUGUAGCGGUGAAAUGCGUAGAUAUCAAGAGGAACACCUGCGGCGAAGGCGGGUUGCUGGGCUGACACUGACGCUGAAGCGCGAAAGCUAGGGGAGCGAACGGGAUUAGAUACCCCGGUAGUCCUAGCCUUAAACGAUGAAUGCUUGGUGUCUGGGGUUAUAAAGUCCCCGGGUGCCGUCGCUAACGCUUUAAGCAUUCCGCCUGGGGAGUACGGUCGCAAGACUGAAACUC